rnacentral:rRNA from 1 species
GACAGAGGGUGCAAACGUUGUUCGGAAUUACUGGGCGUAAAGCGCGUGUAGGCGGCUCUGUAAGUCGGGUGUGAAAUCCCACGGCUCAACCGUGGAAGUGCACUCGAAACUACAGGGCUAGAGUCCUGGAGAGGAAGGUGGAAUGCUUGGUGUAGAGGUGAAAUUCGUAGAGAUCAAGCGGAACACCGGUGGCGAAGGCGGCCUUCUGGACAGUGACUGACGCUGAGACGCGAAAGCGUGGGGAGCAAACAGG